AAAGAUUAAGCCAUGCAUGUCUAAGUACAUUCCGAUAAAUGGAGAAACCGCGAAUGGCUCAUUACAACAGCCAUAGUUUAUUAGAUCUUACUCAACUUGGAUACCUGUGGUAACCUAAGAGCUAAUACAUGCAAUUAAGUCCCGACCUUACGGGAAGGACGCAUUUAUUAGAACAAAACCAAUCGGGCUUUGCCCGUUGUUUGGUGAAUCUGAAUAACUAUGCUGAUCGCACAGUCCACGAACUGGCGACGAUUCUUUCAAAUGUCUGGCUUAUCAACUUUCGACGGUAGUAUACACGGCUACCGUGGUAGUCACGGGUGACGGAGAAUUAGGGUUCGACUCCGGAGAGGGAGCCUGAGAAACGGCUACCACAUCCAAGGAAGGCAGCAGGCACGCAAAUUACCCACUCCCGGUACGGGGAGGUAGUGACGAAAAAUAACGAGACGGUUCUCUAUGAGGCCUGUCAUCGGAAUGGGUACAGUUUAAAUCCUUUAACGAGGAUCUAUUGGAGGGCAAGUCUGGUGCCAGCAGCCGCGGUAAUUCCAGCUCCAAAAGCGUAUAUUAAAGUUGUUGCGGUUAAAAAGCUCGUAGUUGGAUCUACGCCUUAGGUUGGUGGUCCCCCAAAAGGGUGGUACUGCCCUACCUGGGCUAUUUUUCUGGUUUUCCCUUGGUGCUCUUUACCGAGUGCUUUGGGUGACUGGAACGUUUACUUUGAAAAAAUUAGAGUGCUCAAAGCAGGCGAUCCGCCUGAAUAGUGGUGCAUGGAAUAAUAGAAUAGGACUUCGGUUCUAUUUUGUUGGUUUUCGGAACUCGAGGUAAUGAUUAAGAGGGACAGACGGGGGCAUUCGUAUUGCGACGUUAGAGGUGAAAUUCUUGGAUCGUCGCAAGACGCACAACUGCGAAAGCAUUUGCCAAGAAUGUUUUCAUUAAUCAAGAACGAAAGUUAGAGGUUCGAAGGCGAUCAGAUACCGCCCUAGUUCUAACCGUAAACGAUGCCAGCUAGCGAUCCGCGGAAGUUAUUUUAUGACUUCGCGGGCAGCUUCCGGGAAACCAAAGCUUUUGGGUUCCGGGGGAAGUAUGGUUGCAAAUCUGAAACUUAAAGGAAUUGACGGAAGGGCACCACCAGGAGUGGAGCCUGCGGCUUAAUUUGACUCAACGCGGGGAAACUCACCCGGCCCGGACACCGUAAGGAUUGACAGAUUGAAAGCUCUUUCACGAUUCAGUGGGUGGUGGUGCAUGGCCGUUCUUAGUUGAUGGAGCGAUUUGUCUGGUUAAUUCCGAUAACGAGCGAGA
rnacentral:rRNA from 1 species